GUUGAUAGUAUGACCAUCUGUAGCGCAUCUAUAGAUGGACUAUCCAAAUAACGUGUGACCUUAGUUUGUACUAGUUCGCUAGCCUAGCUAUCGUGUACUAGCUAGAAGCACACCCAACAGUGGUUAACAUAACCCCCUAGACCAGAGCUAGCAGUGUGCUGACUGGCAUGAGGGUAGCUUACUUACGCACUGGAACAAAGCUACUUAUUCACACGAUACACGAGACCAAUAAACUUCUACAGGUUGCACGCAAAAAAAUACCAUCUGAGAAGCACGUUGCGGUUCGCAGACCACAUGGUGUCAGUGCACAUAAUCUGCAGCUGGAUGCUUCUCAAAUUGUUUGAAGUUUGAGCAUUCACUCUUAGUAAGGAGAAAUCGGGGGAAGUUGUAACAACAGUAUGUUGUUGUUACAGUGAUCCCAAAGACGGUACCGUAUGAAGAUAGGCAGAAACUGCUUCUCCAAUAGAAACCCUCGAUCACACUUGUAGGCGAUGUCAUGGCGACGUUGUCUAGAUAAACGCAUGAGAAGAAACAUGUCAUCGGGUUUAACGGUUUUCUCGAGCCAAAUCCGCACGUGCAGGCUCAAAUUAAAGACACUCCGAUAUAAAGUCAUUUUUGACAAAUGAAAACGUGUCAGUUUGUCACUUUUUCACCAGGUUAGAGGUAAUAACAUGUUCAACUAUGUAAGACAUUGCCUCCAAUCUAGGUUGUGCCUUUAGAUUGAGAAAAUUAACAACUAAGGAAUAUUUUUUUGCUUCUCUUAUUGACUUCUCAAAACCCGGCCUGGUCUGCUUGGUCUGUUUUGCAAGCGUUCCCAGAAGUCUCACAAUGUUGCUCCACUGGGUUUAGAAACUCUGUGGUGAUACUUUGUAGAGCGGCUCUCUAGUUGCCCUCAGAAUGUGUUUUUUCACCAUUCAAAAUGUGUUAUUACGGUGGGGAUUUGACAAUAUUGCAAUCCUGGUCUGAAAUUGGAUUUGUAUUUUUUGAUUUGCUCUGGUCUUGGUCUCAAACACUGCUGGGUAGUCUACAAAGUGUGACUCCCUUCCAGAGAACUUUGACACCAGGAAGAACCAGCUGUCGUCAGGGCUUCAUGGAGCUCAACAUGAUGGAGGCCAGUGAGAGGGAGGGAGAACACACAGACCUCAGGUAGUGUACUUUGGAGCCGGUCAGUCUGGAGUCAAGCAACAGGAUGCUGAACAUGGCCCUGCAGAGGCCCCUCACAACAGCCAGGACAUAGGUCAAAACUCCCAGGGAUCAGGAGAACGUCCUGGUCUACACCUACAGAGGAGAACACAGGAUCUCAACUCUCAAUUCCAACGAGGUGAAGGACUAGAAUCAACACUAUUUAGAGGUUUAUUCAACCAACAAGAUGAUCUUCCACUAGAGCAGGGUUUCCCAAACUCGGUCCUGGGGCCCUCCUUUAGUGCACAUUUUGUUUUUUGCCCAAGUACUACACAGCUGAUUCAAAUAAUAAAGGCUUGAUGAUGAGUUGGUUAUUUGAAUCAGCUGUGUAGUGCUAGGGCAAAAGACUAAAAGUGCACCCAAGUGGGGCACCAGGAACGAGUAUGGGAAACACGAGAGCCCUCAAACUUAACUCUGGACCUCGAAGCCAGUUUCAUUGCUUUGUUUCAUUGUUCCCCUCUAAUCAAGGACUGAUUUAGACCUGGGACACCAGGUGGGUGCAAUUAAUUAUCAGGUAGAACAGAAAACCAGCAGGCUGCGGACCUUGCAGGGCAAGAGUUGAAUACCCCUGCACUCUAAUGAGUGUAAUACCUUCUAAGUAUUUUUGAUACACACUAGCUGCUGUUGAGAAACAAACAUGGAUGUUUCUUCAUGUAUCUGAUCCAUGUUAAACCAACUCUGUUUUCAUAUAUUUUGUGUGUGUGUGUGUGUGUGUGUAUAUGAUAGACCUCCAAAGUAACACAUUACUGCAAGUUUAGAACUAGUGAGUGUCUAUCACAGGAUGCUGUCAUUGAUAUGCAGCUAUCGCCUCCAUAAACAUGGCAACGGGAUCCCCCUGUGAGAAUGCCCUGGUCACAUGAUAAGUGGGCAUAAUAGUACAUUGUGGUGUAUCAAGAUCACAAGUGUUCUGCAGUUUCUUUCCUAUUUAGUACACAGAUUUUCUCCAUGCACCUGGUAACACUACUGUAGGCGUGUGAGUUAUACUUUUUCAACUGAUCAAAAUAGUGAAGUAGCUAACAGUGAAUGUCCUGGGGCAUUGUUUAGUAAAGGAAUACAGCAAGAUUAGCAAGCUUGGCACCAUGAAGCUCGUAAAGGAAAUGUAGCAACCUAGCAGCAUGGUGAAAUUAACUGUUUUGAGUUGUCCACCCAUAUAGGUUACCACCAGUACAAUGUCCCUAAUAACUGGGCCAUAGUGUUACGUACUGUACACACAAGUUACUAUAAUAUAGUAUUGUAACUGUAUGUAGCAUUUGAUGUAUUGUUUCUCUCCUUCCCACUGUUUUAGACCAACCAAAAGGUCACAGUGUACAUGAACUAUGAACAGAGUAGGAACUGCAGCAAAGGUAUGAGCGUGUUUGCUGUGGAGGUCCUUGAUGGACCAAGAUGGUGAGAUACUAUACUCAUACAACACACUGUCACAUUGGAAUGAUGUUGAGCCUUCUCCUAUUCUUUCUUUGGUUCAUCAAAAUGUUAAAAAACGUUUAAAACAAAGUUGUGUUAAAUAGUCAGAUUUGACCUCAAUUGAGCUAGUUUUGACCUAACUCGUUUCAUGCUCUACUUCUCCCAUUGUAAAUCAACCAGACUUCCUCUCUCUCAAGAGGGAACAAAAGUAACGCAUUGCUUCAAGAAGCAUUCAAGUUUCUCCAUGGGGCAAGUGUUGUUAUUCACUUUGUAUGAUACAGUUGAAGUCAGAAGUUUGCAUACACCUCAGCCAAAUACAUUUAAACUCAGUUUUUCACAAUUCCUGACAUUUAAUCCUAGUAAA